rnacentral:rRNA from 1 species
UACAGGGGGUGCGAGCGUUAAUCGGAAUUACUGGGCGUAAAGCGUGCGUAGACGGUUAUUUAAGUCGGAUGUGAAAGCCCCGGGCUCAACCUGGGAAUUGCAUUCGAGACUGAAUAGCUAGGGUGCGGUAGAGGGAAGCGGAAUUUCCGGUGUAGCGGUGAAAUGCGUAGAUAUCGGAAGGAACAUCAGUGGCGAAGGCGACUUCCUGGCCUGUUCUUGACGCUGAGGCGCGAAAGCUAGGGUAGCAAACAGG